rnacentral:rRNA from 1 species
UACCAGUACCCCGAGUGGUCGGGACGAUUAUUGGGCCUAAAGCAUCCGUAGCCGGUUUUACAAGUCCUCCGUUAAAUCCAGCUGCUUAACAGAUGGGCUGCGGAGGAUACUAUAAGACUAGGAGGCAGGAGAGGCAAGCGGUACUUAGUGGGUAGGGGUAAAAUCCGUUGAUCCAUUGAAGACCACCAGUGGCGAAGGCGGCUUGCCAGAACGCACUCGACGGUGAGGGAUGAAAGCUGGGGGAGCAAACCGG